rnacentral:rRNA from 1 species
UAACACAUGCAAGUCGAACGAGCGAGAGAGAGCUUGCUUUCUCAAGCGAGUGGCGAACGGGUGAGUAACGCGUGAGGAACCUGCCUCAAAGAGGGGGACAACAGUUGGAAACGACUGCUAAUACCGCAUAAGCCCACGACCCGGCAUCGGGUAGAGGGAAAAGGAGCAAUCCGCUUUGAGAUGGCCUCGCGUCCGAUUAGCUAGUUGGUGAGGUAACGGCCCACCAAGGCGACGAUCGGUAGCCGGACUGAGAGGUUGAACGGCCACAUUGGGACUGAGACACGGCCCAGACUCCUACGGGAGGCAGCAGUGGGGAAUAUUGCACAAUGGGGGAAACCCUGAUGCAGCGACGCCGCGUGGAGGAAGAAGGUCUUCGGAUUGUAAACUCCUGUUGUUGAGGAAGAUAAUGACGGUACUCAACAAGGAAGUGACGGCUAACUACGUGCCAGCAGCCGCGGUAAAACGUAGGUCACAAGCGUUGUCCGGAAUUACUGGGUGUAAAGGGAGCGCAGGCGGGAAGACAAGUUGGAAGUGAAAUCCAUGGGCUCAACCCAUGAACUGCUUUCAAAACUGUUUUUCUUGAGUAGUGCAGAGGUAGGCGGAAUUCCCGGUGUAGCGGUGGAAUGCGUAGAUAUCGGGAGGAACACCAGUGGCGAAGGCGGCCUACUGGGCACCAACUGACGCU